GCAGUAGUGGUUCAGUGAUUGAAUUCUUGCCUUCCAUGCAGGAGACCCAAGUUCGAUUCCUGGCCAAAGCA
rfam:Loxodonta africana unplaced genomic scaffold scaffold_68, whole genome shotgun sequence.